CCAGGCUUGAACAGCGAGUGACCACGCCCGAAAGGGCGCUUCCGCAAGGACACUCGUAGAGGUGCUGCAUGGCUGUCGUCAGCUCGUGUCGUGAGAUGUUGGGUUAAGUCCCGCAACGAGCGCAACCCUUGUUUGCUGUUGCCAUCACGUUAUGGUGGGCACUCUGCAAAGACUGCCGGUGAUAAACCGGAGGAAGGUGGGGAUGACGUCAAGUCAGCAUGGCCUUUAUGUCUGGGGCUACACACGUGCUACAAUGGCCGGUACAAACCGUCGCGAUACCGUAAGGUGGAGCUAAUCGGAGAAAGCCGGUCUCAGUUCGGAUUGUCGGCUGCAACUCGCCGACAUGAAGUUGGAAUCGCUAGUAAUCGCGGAUCAGCACGCCGCGGUGAAUACGUUCCCGGGCCUUGUACACACCGCCCGUCACAUCACGAAAGCCGGUUGUACUAGAAGUCGCCACACCAACCCGCAAGGGAGGGAGGCGCCUAAGGUAUGGUCGGUGAUUGGGGUG
rnacentral:rRNA from 1 species